GCGGGGGUGCCCGAGCAUGGUCAAAGGGGGCGGACUUAAGAUCCGCUGGCGAAGGCCUGCGUGGGUCCGAAUCCCACCCCCCGCA
rnacentral:tRNA from 4 species